CCACUGGCUGCCUGUACUUGGUGCCGCAUCGCACACACAAGGAGAAACUGCUUGAGGGAGCAGUUGGCGCUGUGGUUCCUGGGGUAGCCAGAGGUGGACCUAAGGUGUGUUUACAUAUGUGCACCCUGUCUAUGCUGUGCCUGUGGAAGCCGGAAGAGAGUAUCAGAUUUCCCGAAAUUGGAGUUACACAGAUGGUUGUGAGUUUCCAUGUGGGUGCUGGCAACUGAACCCGGGUCCUCCGCAAGAGCAGCAAGUGCUCUUAACUGUCAAGCCAUCGCUCCAGCCCUGGUAACUUCUAAUAAACAGGGAGAGAAGAAACCAUCCUCCACCGCAUGCAAACAUACCUCUCUGGCUGUGUUUUGAGACAGUCUCCCACUCAGCCUGGAGCUCACAGAUUUGACUGCAGACUAGCCAGCCAUCUCCAGAGACCCUCCUGUCUCCAUGUCCCCUGUGUUGGGAUUACAAGUGUGUGCCACCACGCCUGGCUUCUUACACGCCUGUGCGGCAAGCAUGUUACCGAGUGAACCAUCUCCUAACCUCCCUACCUGGCAAUGGCGGUAAGAAAAACUGACCCAAGGAGAUGUUCAACACUUACGAGGUGGAAGACGGUGCUAAUGAGUGUUUCUUGAAGGAAUUCAGAAGGAUAACAUAGAAGCCUAAUGACCACGUAUGGUGGCAUAAUUUCAAUUUUUUUUUCAAAUGUGUAAGAGUGUAUUAAAAAUAAAUUAUUGACGUCUUCA